AGUCCUCCUCUCCCGUAGACUUGCUGCAGCUCACUUCCUCCGUGAGCAGCAGGCCAGCAGAGCAGAGCCCCUGAUGGGAGGUUCCCCUCCGCUGUCGCCUGUGUCUUGGCCAUCGUCGCCGGCCAGGCGGCACUCCGCAUGCAGUCACUCUUCUCAAAGCUCUUCCUUUUACUACGCAUUCACCGAGACGGCCAUGGCAGUGUAUUCCAAGCAGCUGGGGCAGGCUUUGCCCCCGGCGCGCUUCCCCCGUGAUGAGCAGCAGUGCUGCAGGCCCGGGGCCGCAGGAAGGCUUGGCAACCUCACCGCAGGUGGGUAGCCGGCGCGCUGGCCGCAGGGAGGAGCGUGACCUGCGGGAGACAAGAGCAUGCAAGGCAGCACGGAUGCCAGUUGCCUUCAGGCCUCUAUUUCCAGGAGAGAGCUUCCAGCACAGACGUUUGGGGCAGUCUUUGGCUGUCACUGCUGUGCUGUCACACCCCUUAGGAGAGCAAGGCAGUAAGGAAAGGGAGCAGCAGAAGUGUCUUUGCCCUCUGUGUCCUCUGUACACGCCGUGAUCAUGUGCAGGCCCCGUGGGCCCUGCGUUCCUCUGGCCGGGCAGGGAGGAGCGCGCUCCCCGGCACGGGCCCGGCGGAGGCUGUGCUUUGCAUGCAGCGCAUCCGGGAGCAGCGCAGCUGCCGGGGAGAGUCUGUUCAGCAAACCAGCUACUGGCGGCGAAGCGUAAGAGUGAGCUAAAAACAGGUCCUGGAGGUGCUGUUCUGUAUCUACAGUGCUCGGAAACUCUGUGUAAACAUGCUUCCCAUCUAUUAUUAAGCAUCUGGAUUUCAUUAAAUAUUGAAGGUGCAUGUGCCUGCAGAUAAAAGAGAAGAGGGUGGUUUUCCUUUCAUUGCCCAUCAUGUUGUCACUGCCCUGGGUGCAAGGAAAAACUCUUGGCAUCUCCAGAGAAAGCAGAGCCUCUCUUUGCACCCAGCAUUUGCAGUAGCAUAGGAAAUGCUGGGCGGCAAAGGGCCCUUGCUGAAAUAGAGGGCAGCAUCUGGACUCGGCAGAAGCGGGUCAGUCACUGUAGCAAGGUGCGAGAAGCUCAUCCGCCGACUGCCUGUGCGGGUGCACAGAGGGCUUCAGUCGCCCGGGUUAUCUGCCCAGAACCUUUCACUAACUGCAAGAACAAGACAUUCUUGUAAAGGAUUACUAGGGAUUUCUCUCUCCCUCUGGCAGUAUCCAGGCAGAACAGAGACUAUCCACGUGGUUUGCUCUCUCUCCAUCCUUGCAGCCGGACUUCUGGCCUGUACAUUCACCUGUCACUUCUGCCCCGGUCACGCCGCAGGGAUGCCUCAAGCAGCGAGAGGGGCAAAGCCCCCCAGUCCUGCAGGCCAGGGGCGCGGGGCUCCUGUGGACUUCUGCCUUUGGUCUGCACACACUGGGUUCCUGCUUCAGGUGGAGGAGGGGCCACACUCCGUGUCUGGGUGCUGCAGGGGGGCAUUGCUCCUCUUUGGCCCUGGUGCGGAGGGAAUGAUCCACCGCAGCAGCGUGCGGCCCUGGGGCCUGGGCCCGGCGGACUCGCAGACUGACGAGAUGCUCCCAAAUGUGCGCUGCUGCCCUGUGUCCGUGCCUAAGGUGGGGGAGAAGGCGGGAGUAAAAAGGCAAAGCAUUUGACACAGAUCACGUGAGCAUCAAACAAGUGGGACGUUUGCCUUUUGCACUGACACGUGCCAAAAGUCCCAGGCUCGUGCAAACGCCUGCGCAACACAGAGAGGUACAGCCACAGCUUCUUUCUUUUGCUCCGCUUUGCAAAGGCAGAACAAAACAAUACUCAUUUCUGUAGGAGAUUCUCAUCCCGUUUUGAAACAAGAGGAUUAUACCUGUAAGGAUAAUAUGUACCUUUAAUACCUCCGUUUGACCAGAGGAGUUCUGCAUCCUUAAAAUAACUACCAAAGAGAAACCUGUGGGCUCUGAAUAGUAUUUCAAUCCUAGCUUCAUCGACAUGGUUCCUAAAAAGAAUCAGACCUGCUUUUCUUCACUCUCAUUUUGUUCGUAGCUCUGCAGCUAUUUGUAUUUGGGAGACACCUCAAGACCAGCUGCAGCAACAGCAGUGAGCCCAUUAGAGAGCCGGCAGCUCAAGGCUCAUGGCAUCGCUUGGCUGAGUGGGUUUGGUUGUUAUUUUUGGGCUCUGCUUGCAAGCAGAGGCUUGAAUAUCGAAACUCAUGCAGGGACAAUGCAGAGGUGUUUAAAGAUAUGACUUGCAGCACGGAGACGGUGCGAUGUUGCUUCAGACGGAGGCGAUAACAGCGGGAAGCGGCAGUGCAGCGACCCUGGCACAACUGCCUCCUUUCUUCACGGUCUGAAAAAUGUCAUCAGCAUCUCUCCAGUAGGAUGGUACACGUGGAUCCCAGCAGUCCAGGCUUGGUCGGUACCCGGGAGAAGCUCGCUGGGGAGAAGACUUUCAGCAAGCUGCCAGACUGCCACCCGCUCUUCUAAUUCCCAGCCUCACUUAAAACAAAAACCCUGAGUUGUCGUGAGUGGCUUCGGUCACGAGCAAGAGCUGGAGAGAAGCUGAGGAAGGAACGAGAGAGGAAGAUGAGAAGGAAUGUUUGAUGGCGUUUCCUAUCAUCUCUACAAAAGAAUCUCUGCUAGCGCGUUGAGUUUCUUCAAGCAACACCAUGUGAUUAAACCUCCAUAAAGCAUGAAAGACCAGGAGAAAGGGAGAAAUAGCACAUACUCUCACUCGAACUUGCUUGAUACCUUUUUGUAUGCCAGAAGGACUUAACACUGGCAUGGAUUCCUGGGUGGAUGAGCAAUACAAAGCAGCACAGAACAGGUUUCCUCCAGCACAGAUAUUUUAGCAGCAGUUUGUACAAGAUUUUGUUGUAUCUCAUUUGUUGGUCAUUUAUGAGCAACUCUGUUUCAAUCAGCUUGUAAUUUUUCAUAAGGCACUUUGAUUAAAUAAAUAAUGAGACUGCAAGCUGAAAA